rnacentral:other from 1 species
GGGUUCCUGCUCUGUUGGUAGGGCAAGCAUGGUUUUGAUCCUAUAAGUGACACGGGAGCUGGAAGUGAGCGGCUCAGUACGCCAGGCUUUUGUUGACAAAGAAGGCGGAAAUAUCGCUCCAGGCGCCCACCUGCUUCAGCAGGGUCAGAAACCGGCGGCUUUACGGCAGCGCGGGAGAAAA